rnacentral:misc_RNA from 1 species
GCAAACUUGGUCAUUUAGAGGAAGUAAAAGUCGUAACAAGGUCUCCGUUGGUGAACCAGCGGAGGGAUCAUUACAGAGUGUUAAAACUCCCUAAACCCAUGUGAACAUACCUAUGUUGCUUCGGCGAGAUCGCCCCAGGCGCCUUGUGUGUCCCGGAGUCAGGCACUCGCCGGAGGAUGCAAACUCUUGUUUUAUUGGGAAUCUUCUGAGUAUAACAAACAAAUAAAUCAAAACUUUCAACAACGGAUCUCUUGGUUCUGGCAUCGAUGAAGAACGCAGC